AUAAGCAGUAGAUUGUGUCCUUUCAGAGGAGGAAAUCCACUCUAUCCAGACCAGUGGAUCAGACACUUUUGUGUAGAUUAGGAAUUAACCGUGGGUAAGUGUAAUAAACCAUGUUUGCACAGUGAGAAAUACGAUUCGCCUGAAACAUGUUGUUUUUUCUAUUUUGAUGUUUUAUUUUGUGUCUGUGCCUGACUUCCUUUCCAGCAUGGGUUAAUCUGUGCUGAAUUUAUGCAGCAUGUUGCGGCGUCCAGAAAAAAAUAGAACCCUGGCGAUCAACUAUGAAGCCCAUUGAACUGCAGGGGACUGGAAAGAAGCUGGUGGAAAUUCACACAUUAAAUUGGAUGGAAACGGUUGGCAGCCAACAGCCUUUUCGCCACUGUUCCGCAUGCGGUGGAAAUUUGGGGUAAGUUGUGACAUACUUUAACUCUGCUCAUCACACAGCAAGAGCAGUGUGAGAGCGACACUUUGCGACGAGAUUAACCUGCUGCAUAGAGGACUAAUAUUCUCACAGAAAAGGAUCUGGAAUAUUAUAAUUACCAGUAUAUUAGUUGUGUAUGCUUAUGCUUUUGUGAGUGUGUGCACAAUGAUGGAAAAAAAUUGUAAAAAAAUGAAUCACACUGCAGAAUGCUUGGUGACACAAUCCAAGAGAUCCCACACAGUCUGCCAACCAUGGUGGCUCAAUACAGU
rnacentral:lncRNA from 1 species